AUUGAACGCUGGCGGCAGGCCUAACACAUGCAAGUCGAACGAGUGGCGGACGGGUGAGUAAUGUCUGGGAAACUGCCUGAUGGAGGGGGAUAACUACUGGAAACGGUAGCUAAUACCGCAUACCAUCGGCUUUGCCCAGAUGGGAUUAGCUAGUAGGGGGGGUAAAGGCUCACCUAGGCGACGAUCCCUAGCUGGUCUGAGGGGAUGACCGUCCAAAUGGGAACGGAGACACGGUCCAGACUCCAACGGAAGGCAGCAGUGGGGAAUAUUGCACAAUGAGGGCAAGCCGGAGGCAGCCAGGCGGGGGGGAUGAAGAGGGCCUUGGGGUUGAAAAGUACUUUCAGCGGGGAGGCGGUACCCGAAGAAGAAGCACCGGCUAACUCCGUGCCAGCAGCCGCGGUAAUAC
rnacentral:rRNA from 1 species